AAAUCAGUUGCAGGAGUCUGACCUCACCUUCAACCACAAGAUCGCAGUUCAGGAAAGGAAUGCUCUGGCUAACUGGGUAAGUGUUUUCCUUUUCCUCAUCUUUGUUUGGGGCACAGUCGGGCACAACUGCACGUG
rnacentral:lncRNA from 1 species